AGACGGAGGGGGCUAGCGUUGUUCGGAAUGACUGGGCGUAAAGGGCGCGUAGGUGGUAUUUUAAGUGAGGCGUGAAAGCCCCGGGCUUAACCCGGGAGGUGCGUUUCAUACUGGAAUGCUAGAGUGCGAGAGAGGAAAGUGGAAUUCCUAGUGUAGAGGUGAAAUUCGUAGAUAUUAGGAAGAACACCAGAGGCGAAGGCGGCUUUCUGGCUCGCAACUGACGCUGAGGCGCGAAAGCGUGGGGAGC
rnacentral:rRNA from 1 species